rnacentral:rRNA from 1 species
UACAGAGGGGGCAAGCGUUGUUCGGAAUUACUGGGCGUAAAGGGCGCGUAGGCGGCCCGCUAAGUCGAACGUGAAAUCCCCGAGCUCAACUCGGGAACUGCGUCCGAUACUGGCGGGCUUGAAUCCGGGAGAGGGAUGCGGAAUUCCAGGUGUAGCGGUGAAAUGCGUAGAGAUCUGGAGGAACACCGAUGGCGAAGGCAGCCCCCUGGGCUAACACUGACGCUCAUGCACGAAAGCGUGGGGAGCAAACAGG